rnacentral:lncRNA from 1 species
UGUGCUGGUCAGUGUUGGGGCAUAUGCGCUGAUGAUUGUCACAUACUGGUCUUUGCUGAGAGGAAAACGGAUCUUCAUGAGCCUCUCAUUGAUGCCCACAGGCAAGUCUGAAACUGUUUGAGCAAGUUGGUCUUGAUGGCCAGGCCAACACCAUGGAUUCUGUCUUCACUUGUGGCUCUACCUUUCCAGAAGAAGGUGUAUCCAGUGGUGGGUUCGCUGAGUGAUCCCUCUUCUGGAAAUGGCUAUUUGCUCCCUUAACUCAGUGAGGGGAACCCCUUAACGCCUCAACAGAGAGAUGGUGAACAUGAUUCCCAAGUAAAUAAAGGAGGGAAUAAUGCAGGAGCUGACAAGAAAGUGCAAUAGAUGUUGGUGGAGUUGUGAACUGAUACAACCAUUAUGGAGAGCAAUUUGGAACCAUGCCCAAAGGACCAUCAAAAUGUGCAUGCCCUUUACCAGCAAUACCAUUAUGAGGUCUGUAUUCCAUAGAGAUCAAAGGUAGGAGAAGGCAACUAUUUGUACAAAAAACAUUUAUAGCAACUCUUUUUAUGGUAUCAAAGAACUGAAAACUGAAGGGAUAUUCAUCAAUUGUCGACUAGCUGAAUAAAUUGUAGUACGUGUUUGUAAUGGAAUGAUAU